AACGAACGCUGGCGGCAGGCUUAACACAUGCAAGUCGAACGAACUCUUCGGAGUUAGUGGCAGACGGGUGAGUAACGCGUGGGAACCUACCUUUAGGUACGGAACAACAGUUGGAAACGACUGCUAAUACCGUAUGUGCCCUAUGGGGGAAAGAUUUAUCGCCUAAGGAUGGGCCCGCGUUGGAUUAGCUAGUUGGUGGGGUAAAGGCCUACCAAGGCGACGAUCCAUAGCUGGUCUGAGAGGAUGAUCAGCCACACUGGGACUGAGACACGGCCCAGACUCCUACGGGAGGCAGCAGUGGGGAAUAUUGGACAAUGGGCGCAAGCCUGAUCCAGCCAUGCCGCGUGAGUGAUGAAGGCCCUAGGGUUGUAAAGCUCUUUCAGCGAGGAGGAUAAUGACGU
rnacentral:rRNA from 1 species